rnacentral:lncRNA from 13 species
GGGAGAUUUGGUUUUCCCAUAAUGCUUCAUUUUUUUUCCCAAAAGGAGAGUGAAUUCACGUAAUGCUUAUGUAAUUUAAAAAAUCAUCAAACAUGUAAAAAGAAAAACGGGGGCGAACAUGCUGGGUGACAUGAGCUGUUUAACCUGCUGCCAGGCUCAGGAAUGAGGGCAUUUUCUGUAGAUCCAUGAGAAUGUCCCAGGUUGCUGCCUCUCCAGGGUGGUUUCCGUGGGUGCUCACAUGUGGCAUCGAGGUUACAAAGUGCUCUUCCCAUUUGAUUCAUGGUCACAAAAAUAGCCUUCCCAGGCCGGGCAGGCCCGCAUGCCCCCGUCUUUUACGGAGGUGGAAAUGGAGGUCCAGAGAGGCAAAGUGACUUUCCUGCAGUCACACAGCAGUGUCUGGUGGUGCCAUGCUCAGAGCUCCGCACUUUGGGUCCUGAGCUCCUCCCAGAUUUGCCUGCUCUCUGGAACCGACAUCUGUAGCUCCUUCCCAGGGAGAUCUGGGUCUCCCACUGCAUUUUGACCUCCCUGUGGCUGCAGGAGCUGCUGCUUCUUGGUCAGAUGGUAUCCCCUUCCCCCCCAGCAGUAUCUCAGGAUAAAAAUAAACCAUCCUGUUCUCUUUUCCUGCUGAGCCAACUGAGGGGGAGCCUAGCCAGGAGGAACGGCAGAUGGAGAGGGAGCAGAGGGGAGGGGAGGGGAGGGGAGGGGGGAGGGGAGGAAGGGUGGAGGACAAGGAGGAGAAGGAAGAGCAAUGCAAAGUACCCUGCAGAACCCGGCACAAAGGUUCGAGGCUGCUGUUGGUUUUGUUUGUGCACGCCCCGUUCACGCCCCAGCCCACUCAGAAGGCUGCAGGCCCAGGCACAGCCUAAUGGACAGAGCCAGGCCUUUGCUGCAUUGCCGACGUGGAGGAAUUACAGGAAGACAGACUGUGGCACAGAAAAAGAGGGAUGUACGAAGCCACCUGACCAACAAAGCAGGCUGAUCCUGGAGGGCGUGAGGUGCCCGACACUGGAGAUGGUGACAUAGCUUUCCUUUUAAGAAUAAAGCAAAAGAAAAUCCGAUAAAAGACUUGAAU